rnacentral:rRNA from 1 species
AGUGAACGCUGGCGGUAUGCCUAACACAUGCAAGUCGAACGGCAGCACAGUAAGAGCUUGCUCUUACGGGUGGCGAGUGGCGGACGGGUGAGGAAUACAUCGGAAUCUACUUUUUCGUGGGGGAUAACGUAGGGAAACUUACGCUAAUACCGCAUACGACCUACGGGUGAAAGCAGGGGAUCUUCGGACCUUGCGCGAUUGAAUGAGCCGAUGUCGGAUUAGCUAGUUGGCGGGGUAAAGGCCCACCAAGGCGACGAUCCGUAACUGGUCUGAGAGGAUGAUCAGCCACACUGGAACUGAGACACGGUCCAGACUCCUACGGGAGGCAGCAGUGGGGAAUAUUGGACAAUGGGCGCAAGCCUGAUCCAGCCAUACCGCGUGAGUGAAGAAGGCCUUCGGGUUGUAAAGCCCUUUUGUUGGGAAAGAAAAGAAGCAGGUUAAUACCCCGCUGUUCUGACGGUAACCAAAGAAUAAGCACCGGCUAACUUCGUG